GUUAUCACGGGAGACACACGGCGGGUGCUAACGUCCGUCGUGAAGAGGGAAACAACCCAGACCGCCAGCUAAGGUCCCAAAGUCAUGGUUAAGUGGGAAACGAUGUGGGAAGGCCCAGACAGCCAGGAUGUUGGCUUAGAAGCAGCCAUCAUUUAAAGAAAGCGUAAUAGCUCACUGGUCGAGUCGGCCUGCGCGGAAGAUGUAACGGGGCUAAACCAUGCACCGAAGCUGCGGCAGCGAACGUAUCACCCAAGACAACUUUACGGAGUUGACGAUUGACGGAGCGAAGCGACGUCAAAGCGUUCAUUAAAGUCGAGUUGGCUUAGGGAUACGUUCGUUGGGUAGGGGAGCGUUCUGUAAGCCUGUGAAGGUGUGUCGUGAGGCAUGCUGGAGGUAUCAGAAGUGCGAAUGCUGACAUAAGUAACGAUAAAGCGGGUGAAAAGCCCGCUCGCCGGAAGACCAAGGGUUCCUGUCCAACGUUAAUCGGGGCAGGGUGAGUCGACCCCUAAGGCGAGGCCGAAAGGCGUAGUCGAUGGGAAACGGGUUAAUAUUCCCGUACUUGGUGUUACUGCGAAGGGGGGACGG
rnacentral:rRNA from 1 species